UUUCCGUAGGUGAACCUGCGGAAGGAUCAUUAGAGAUGUGCGCAAGCACUUUUCCCUUCUUACACCUGUGCACCGUUUGGUCUUCGGAGCUAUACAAUACCUGUAGUCACAAACGUACUCUAUUAUAACAUAAUAAAACUUUUAACAACGGAUCUCUUGGCUCUC
rnacentral:misc_RNA from 1 species